rnacentral:rRNA from 1 species
AACGAACGCUGGCGGCAUGCCUAACACAUGCAAGUCGAACGAACCCUUCGGGGUUAGUGGCGCACGGGUGCGUAACGCGUGGGAAUCUGCCCUUUGCUUCGGAAUAACUCAGGGAAACUUGAGCUAAUACCGGAUAAUGUCGCAAGACCAAAGAUUUAUCGGCAAAGGAUGAGCCCGCGUAGGAUUAGCUAGUUGGUGGGGUAAAGGCCUACCAAGGCGACGAUCCUUAGCUGGUCUGAGAGGAUGAUCAGCCACACUGGGACUGAGACACGGCCCAGACUCCUACGGGAGGCAGCAGUGGGGGGAAUAUUGGACAAUGGGGCGAAAGCCUGAUCCAGCAAUGCCGCGUGAGUGAUGAAGGCCUUAGGGUUGUAAAGCUCUUUUACCCGGGAUGAUAAUGACAGUACCGGGAGAAUAAGCUCCGGCUAACUCCGUGCCAGCCGCCGCGGUAAUU